CUGCAUCUUUUCUGGCCUCUCAUCCUCCCCAGCCACCCGGGUAAAGGUCAGGCUUCGCAUCCUGAUCUGUCCCUGCGCCUGUUUGCGAAUUCUCUCUCCCGUGAAAUCCUUUAAGGCUACCGCCGGCCGGGAAGGUCUCUACAGCAGCGGUCCUGCUCCCCCCGCCCCCCAGGCUGGAGGCGGGGCCCUGGGAUCCCAGCUCAGUGGUGCUGGCCUCCGGGGAGCAGGCCAGGCCCCCUGCCCCGGGGCUCCUGUGACCUGUGCUCUUCCAUCUCUAGUCAGGAGAAAACCAAAGGACUCGAUUUCUCCGUGGCUGACGUAGGAUGACCGCACUGGGCUUGUCUGCGGGCUGGGAGGCUGGAAGAGGCGUGACCAGCUCCGGGAGAGCGGAGAUCCAUCCAUCAGCCCACUGAAGGCUCUGAAGAGUGGUCACAGCUCCCAUUCUUCAAGAUGAUGAAGAGCGCGCCUCUGCAGGCCUUGGGGGACCGCAAGCCCCGACUCGGGAGGGAGCCGCCUCCCCCUGCUCCCCGAGGGGGCUCCGUGCAGCAGCAUCUGGAUGUGUCCUCCAUGCCCACCCAUGGGGUGAAGAAGGGCCCACCGCCAGGACAGCUCUGCCGCGAUUUCGGGGGCCUGACCCACAGGGAGUCCAGCCAGUGGAAGGCCCCGGCAGGGCCCCCACACACGGAAAGGAGCAUCGGGGCUGAGCUGCUGCUGCGCCUCCUUCGUUAAAUCCCCGGCAUGUUCUGACGCUGUGCUGACUUCUGCCGAAGUCUGCCUGACUCAGUGCUCACAGAUGCUGUGAACACCCACGGCUCCAUCUUUACACGCGAGGGAGCUGAGGCCCACAGAGGGUCACCGGGCGGGAGCUCCCGUGCGGGGUGCACAGUCCGGGGCGGCCUAGCUGGGGAGAGGGAGCCAUGUCUUCCUGGCUCCGGGAGGGCCGGCAGGCGGAGGCAGCUCGAAAGAUGAAUUUCGGGAUCCUGCAGCCGCAGAGAUCAGCUGGGUGCAGUGGAGUCGUCUGUGUUGGAAUCUAUCAUGGUCCCGACAUAAAUUAAUUAUAACCCUUCUGCUGGAAGCAGCUUCAUGUAUAAUUAACAUUUGCUGGAGGCAAGAGGGGCUGCCGGAGAAGCUGCUGCUUCCACGGGGCCGACGGGGCGGGGGGACCCUCUGUGCUGGGGUCAGGCCGGCUUGACCCUGACGCCAGUGGCCCUGAUGCCUGCCAGCUCCUUCCAGGGUCUUCUGGGGGAGGACCUGGGCAGAGGGUCAGGCGGGCAUCCUGAGAGGCACACCGUCCAUUUCUCAGAGUCAUCAUCCUUGAGACCCAGAGACGCUUCUGCCGCUCUGACCCUGACUAAACAGCGUCCUCUUCAGCCAGGGGCCUGCAGCCCUGAUGGGACCCAAGGAGGGCAGCGGGCGGUCUCAGAGAAACCACGGAAGGCAGGGCUGGAGGCAGUGACUGUUCGUCCCCGCGGGCAGUAGGCUGGCACCUCGUGUCCUCCUCUGAAGGUCCAGAGGCUGCUCCUGGACAGACGGUGGUGCAGAGACCUGCCCUGAGACUGCAGGACAGGGUCUAGUCAGAAGCGCAGAAUGCAGGGCGGCCCGGCGGCAGGGGGCCCGCCCUCCGGAGGAGCUGGAGGCUGGGAUCUUGGCUGUGUCAGCGCUUCUUGAGGGCUCUGGUCUGGACGCCCCUGCGGCUCCCGAGGGCACGGUGGCCAGAGAGGGACGCGGU
ensembl:lncRNA